UACGUAGGGUGCGAGCGUUGUCCGGAUUUAUUGGGCGUAAGAGCUCGUAGGCGGCUUGUCGCGUCGUUCGUGAAAACUCACAGCUCAACUGUGAGCUUGCGGUCGAUACGGGCAGGCUAGAGUUCGGUAGGGGAGACUGGAAUUCCUGGUGUAGCGGUGAAAUGCGCAGAUAUCAGGAGGAACACCGGUGGCGAAGGCGACUUACUGGACUGUAACUGACGCUGGAGGCAAUGGAAAAGCGUGGGGAGCAAACAGG
rnacentral:rRNA from 1 species